rnacentral:rRNA from 1 species
UAGGGAAUCUUCGGCAAUGGACGAAAGUCUGACCGAGCAACGCCGCGUGAGUGAAGAAGGAUUUCGGAUCGUAAAACUCUGUUGUUAGAGAAGAACAAGGACGUUAGUAACUGAACGUCCCCUGACGGUAUCUAACCAGAAAGCCACGGCUAACUACGUGCCAGCAGCCGCGGUAAUACGUAGGUGGCAAGCGUUGUCCGGAUUUAUUGGGCGUAAAGCGAGCGCAGGCGGUUUCUUAAGUCUGAUGUGAAAGCCCCCGGCUCAACCGGGGAGGGUCAUUGGAAACUGGGAGACUUGGGUGCAGAGGAGGAGGGUGGAAUUCCAGGUGUAGCGGUGAAAUGCGAAGAUAUAAGGAGGAACACCAGUGGCGAAGGCGGCUCUCUGGUCAGUAACUGACGCUGAGGCUCGAAGGCGUGGGGAGCAAACAGG